rnacentral:rRNA from 1 species
UGGGGAAUAUUGCACAAUGGGCGAAAGCCUGAUGCAGCAACGCCGCGUGAGUGAUGAAGGCCUUCGGGUUGUAAAGCUCUGUCUUCUGGGACGAUAAUGACGGUACCAGAGGAGGAAGCCACGGCUAACUACGUGCCAGCAGCCGCGGUAAUACGUAGGUGGCAAGCGUUGUCCGGAUUUACUGGGCGUAUAGGAUGCGUAGGCGGAUACUUAAGUCAGAUGUGAAAAUCCGGGGCUUAACUUGGGAACUGCAUUUGAAACUGGGUAUCUAGAGUGCGGGAGAGGAAAGUGGAAUUCCUAGUGUAGCGGUGAAAUGCGUAGAGAUUAGGAAGAACACCAGUGGCGAAGGCGACUUUCUGGACCGUAACUGACGCUGAGGCAUGAAAGCGUGGGGAGCAAACA